rnacentral:rRNA from 1 species
CCUACGGGAGGCAGCAGUAGGGAAUCUUGCGCAAUGGGCGAAAGCCUGACGCAGCCAUGCCGCGUGAAUGAUGAAGGUCUUAGGAUUGUAAAAUUCUUUCACCGGGGACGAUAAUGACGGUACCCGGAGAAGAAGCCCCGGCUAACUUCGUGCCAGCAGCCGCGGUAAUACGAAGGGGGCUAGCGUUGCUCGGAAUUACUGGGCGUAAAGGGAGCGUAGGCGGAUAGUUUAGUCAGAGGUGAAAGCCCAGGGCUCAACCUUGGAAUUGCCUUUGAUACUGGCUAUCUUGAGUAUGGGAGAGGUGAGUGGAACUCCGAGUGUAGAGGUGAAAUUCGUAGAUAUUCGGAAGAACACCAGUGGCGAAGGCGACUCACUGGCCCAUUACUGACGCUGAGGCUCGAAAGCGUGGGGAGCAAACAGGAUUAGAUACCCUGGUAGUCCACGCCGUAAACGAUGAGUGCUAGUUGUCGGCAUGCAUGCAUGUCGGUGACGCAGCUACGACAUUAAGUACACUCCGCCGUCGGGGAGGUACGGUCGCGAAGAUUAAACUACGAAAGAAGUUAGUACGGCGUGAGACGUCGCCGAACGGACGACGACGAGGGAGGUUAGG